rnacentral:rRNA from 1 species
ACAAGCGGUGGAUGAUGUGGAUUAAUUCGAUGCAACGCGAAGAACCUUACCUACCCUUGACAUGUCCGGAACUUGCCAGAGGUGGCUUGGUGCCCGAAAGGGAAUCGGAACACAGGUGCUGCAUGGCUGUCGUCAGCUCGUGUCGUGAGAUGUUGGGUUAAGUCCCGCAACGAGCGCAACCCUUAUCAUUAGUUGCUACGCAAGGGCACUCUAAUGAGACUGCCGGUGACAAACCGGAGGAAGUGGGGAUGACGUCAAGUCCUCAUGGCCCUUAUGGGUAGGGCUUCACACGUCAUACAAUGGUCGGUACAGAGGGUUGCCAAGCCGCGAGGUGGAGCCAAUCCCAGAAAGCCGAUCGUAGUCCGGAUUGUUCUCUGCAACUCGAGAGCAUGAAGUCGGAAUCGCUAGUAAUCGCGGAUCAGCAUGUCGCGGUGAAUACGUUCCCGGGUCUU